UUGACGCCAAAGUUUCGAGAGAUCGAACUCAUUUCAAUAAUUCGAGCCGUUACAGUGCGAGCAGUCGUAAAUUGUCUGUCCUCAGUGAAGGAAUAUCAAGAUAUUUGUUUUUACACCAGUUAACUCACAUGCGUUUUUCUUAUUAAUCCGUGUUAUUAAAGUAUCGAAAUUCUUGGAAUACGGAUUUAAUAAAAUCUCAACAAACUCUCGCGGGUGAAUACGCUAAAGAGAACAAAGACCGUAUACGAAGAUGUGCGGUGGUUUUACGUGUUCUAAAAACGCAUUGACGGCAUUAAAUAUUCUUUAUAUCGUUGUUGCAUUUAUUUUAAUUGGUGUGGCUGUUUAUGGAAGAGCUUCAGCAUUAGUUACAAAUCUUCCUAUUAUUGGAGGUAUUUUAGCAUGUGGUGUUAUUUUGAUUCUAAUUUCUAUAAUUGGUCUGAUUGGUGCUGUUAAACAUCAUCAAGUUCUAUUAUUCUUUUAUAUGUUGAUUUUAUUUCUGUUAUUCUUGAUUCAAUUCAGUAUUGCUUGUGCUUGUCUUGCUGUCAAUGCCAAACAGCAAGAACAAUUAGCAGAACAGGGUUGGAAACAUGCACCAGAAUUAAGAACAAAAGUUGAGGAAACUUUUAAUUGUUGUGGAUUCAAUGGUACUCUUAGUACAUUUAUAAUGAAUACUUCAGAUUCAUUAUCAUGUAAAAAUAAAUUCUGUUCUUGUCAAUAUCCUACAGAUAUUGAUUGUGAAUGUCCAUCUUGUAUGCAAAAAUUACAAUCCACAAUUGAUUAUGCCUUUAAGCUAUGUGGCAGCAUAGGAUUGUUUUUCAGUUUUACUGAAUUUGUUGGUGUUUGGUUGACCGUGCGAUACAGGAAUCAGAAAGAUCCACGAGCUAAUCCUAGUGCUUUCCUCUAGUCUAAUAUCAUCGCUAUGUCCUCUGUCACCUCAUGCGAUCCUCCUAAUAGAUGGUGAUUGCAGCUUUCUUGGCAAAACAUUUUAGAAAUCAACUAAAUCCAUGUUCAAAAACUAUAUUUCCUUAGUAUAAUUUUAUUUACGUAGUUCAUAUACAUUACAUAGUUCAGUUUAAAAAAAAAUUUUUUUUUAAUUGAAAGAUAGAUAAUGAGAUUAAUGAUUUAUAACUAUAAUUCUGGUCAGUUUGAUUAUUUAAUAGCUAAAAGACCUAUUUUUAUUUAACAGUACAAAUAUCAUCUUGCAUACAAUACAAUUUUUGAAAAACUAUUGGUCUUUCACACCGCAAUUUAUAAUGCUCAACAGAAAAAAAAAAAAAAAAAUAGCACAUUUG